AAUGUACGAGGGUUGUCAGUAAAGUUCAUGGACAAGCUGUAGUCUGCGUAGAAAUAGCAUGUCAGGUAAAUUCUUUUUGCAUAUCUUUAAUCCUGAACUAUAUAAAUGUGAUAGAUGGGUACCGCGACUUUGUACAGCAGAACAUUUAACAAAAAGAAUGAAACAAUUUAUUAAAAAAGUUUCUCGUGGUGACAUAUGAUUUCCAGACAGAAUAAUUACAUCCGACAUAAGCUGGUUUCAUAACUACGAUCCGGAAACUAAACAACAGUCAUCAAGACAUUGUAUCAUUUCGUUUAGAGCGAAUAAAAAAAGGGAAAACAUCACUUGAAGGUUAAGGACAUUGCGUGCGAGUUGAUUUUAUUUCAAAUACAAUUCUAUUAAACGUAAUUAAUGACCACAAAUGAAGAGAUAAAAAGUAUACAAGCAACAUGAAUUAUUUUGUAGUUCUGAAAUCUUCCUCUCGUAUAUUAUAUCAUUUAAUUCUAAAACAAUUAUGCUCCAAAUAUCAUAUCUUUUAUCUGUAAAAAGUGAAUUAAAAUAGUUAUGAUAUCUAGGGCCAUCGCCAUCUGGAAAUCAUGAAACAGACCAGACGUAUUCAUCUACUAUUCUAGAAGAAGAAAAACUUUUCACAAGAUUUUGCGGCUUAACCUUAGGGUUGGGAUUAGGUUGUUAUAUUGUCACUAAAUGGUACACCUCCAGUAAAAUAUUUACGAAGGAUUCAAAAUUAUAGUAUAUCUAAAUAAAGGAUUCGGAUUUGAAAAUACUGAAGAAGUAUUGUCAGAUUUAUUGUCUGCUGGUUUCUUGAAGAACAAAAUAUGAAAAAGGGUGUGAAGCCACAGAACGGUUUAGAUUGGCUUCGUUUUGUAUGGGAUAUACAAAGGGAUAAACCCGAAAUGUGGAAUAUUUUUGAUUUUAUUGCUUUAGCACUUGUAAAUCCUUGUAAUACGAUUGCAAGGAAAGUUAAAGCGGCAAUUGGUAAAAUCAUUGCAUUAUCAACAGCAUCAUGUAAUAUAUAGAAUUUUGACAAGACAUUCACAUCACUUUGUAAAAAGUAAAAUCACAAAAAUACUGAACUCCGAGGAAAAUUCAAUCGGAAAGUUCCUAAUCACAUGGCAAAAAUUCAAAUGACAAAACACAUCAAACGAAUGGACAACAACUGUCAUAUUCCUGACUGGGUAAUGUAGAAAAUGGGUGAUUUGACCUGGUUUUAUAGCACUAAACCUCUCACUUUAUAGGUACACGAGCGAUUCACUUGGGACUCUAGAGUUAAGCUGGAUCAUAUGUCAUUUAAAAAGCUUUUGGCAUUCGUCACUGACAGGUUAGCUUAUACUGAUGCAAGUUCGUUCAUAUAAAGGCUAUGGAUCCAUUAUGCAUUUUUGUUCUGACCAAAUUGCUCAUCAGAUGUGGACAAAUGAAGAAAAGAUAAAACGUUUUACCUAGAGAUAACUUAAGGCAGUGAUUAAUUUUGACUUUGAAAUGAUUCCAGGUAAUUUUAAAAUGAAUUUGUUAAACAAUUCACUGAUAACCAAAACGUAGCUCACAUAUAAGUUAUACGAUGAUGACUGAUGUACCCAUAUUCUGACUAUUUUAUUUAUUGUGUCUGUUUAGUUAACGCAUCAAUGUAAAUAUAACGGAAUUUGAUGAGACUGUCAUCAAAGUGAGAGGGUUAGCGCUAUAAAACCAGGUUUAAUCCACCAUUUUCUACAUUUGAAAAUGCCUGUACCAAGUCAGGAAUAUGAGAGUUCUUGUCCAUUCGUUUUGAUGCGUUUUUUAUUUGAUUUUGCCAUGUGAUUAUAGACUUUCCGAAUUGAUUUUCCUCUAAGUUCAGUAUUUUUGUGAUUUUACUUUUUACUAGUAGUAUAAAAUAUGAUUUGCACAAUCUAACUACAGCGAUCAUUUAUUUUUGUACAGAAACUCGGUGUGUUGAAUGAAAACCAAAAACAUGUAAUACUACAGCGGGACAGUAUAUUUAAAUCUGCAUUUUGACAAUUCAGCGGUUCAGGAUGAAAUUUUUCUUAAACAUGUUAUUGUAUUUACUAAAAUAUUGUGAGCUCUUUAAAAGCAAAUACAGAUUUGCUAACAUUAGCAAAGCUAAACUUCCAAGGUAUAUAUUUUUUUUAUCCUUAAAGGUAUCGAAGCUUUCAUGUUUUGUCAGGUGAUAAUAAUUGGCUCGUACCAACUGUUUCCUUAAUAGCUAACAUUUAUAUAUAAUUUUGUUAAGUACAUUGGUAAUCCUGAAGUGGAUAUAGGUAAUGUUUUUGACACCGGCGAGUUUGUUAGUUUAGUGCAAGAUUUUCUUGUGUAUGAAACUCAUUCUUAUUUGUCCACAGGGGUUCAGCUGAGAAUUUGGUUUUCAAUGAAAGCAGAUGUAUUGGAAAUGUGCUUAUUGAAUGUUGAUGGUAAAAGUUCAUGAAUGAAUUUUGAGCAUUAGUUUUUUCUUUAUGCAGACCUUGCCGCAGUUUGAUUUUAUAUUAUUGCUGUAGAUUCUUACAGGGAACUGUAAAUUCAGGAAUUAUUGCGUGCAUAUUGCGAAGCACUAUUAUUGCGGAUUUUAAAUUUUGAGAUAUUGAGGAAAAUCCAGUUUAAUUCAUAUAAUGUUUUUUUGAAUGCGAGUUUAAAUUAUAGUGAUUAUAACCCUGUCGCAUUUUUCGCAAUUAUAAAAACAUCGCAAUAUUUUUUGAAUAUACAGUACUAGUAUAUGAAUACGGAACUGGACGCUUGUGUCCUAGAUCUUGCAGUGUUUUUCUGUCCAUAAAAAUAUAUGCAUAUCUUUCCAUUUAUUUAUCAGAUAUCUUUGAGAAAAAGAUCUCAAACUUCUCCUGUAGAACUGAUUUACAUAACACAGCGUUUGCAGCUAUGAAUAUAGCUUUAAAAAAGAGCAGAUCAGAUUUAACAAACAAGAAAAACGAUUUGUAUUUCAAUAAAUGUGAAAUUUGGUGCAAAGUACUAGUUUAUGCCUGUGCAUAAAUCCACUGUUUACAACAAAUGGAAGUGUUUAACGAUCCUGACUGGCUAUACAGCCCUGACACGGUACGGUUUUUAUACUAUCAGCCUGUUCAAUCUCCGUUCUUAACUCGAACGUUUACGCAAUUAAUUUGUAUCACGAAUUAUUUUUGUUAUCCAAACCCUUGUUUGUCCAAUCACUGCAAUGCAGAAUGGGUACAACAAUAGAAUGACGUCACUGCAAUGUUUUAAAUAUUAAUUUUAUUAUUAAAAGGAAAAUAUAUAACGUAUUUUAUAAUUCAUGCCAGUACCAAAGCACUUACUACUCGGGGACGAAAAUUCCACCGAAUGUAUGCACAGCUCAAAAAUUAAAUUUAGAAUGGAAUCAUAUGAAUGAUUAAUAAUGAAGACUUCUCCAAAAUUUAGAACCAAAUAAAGUCUUUUAUAAAUAAUAUGUAAAACGGUUAAAUAAUACUAACAAGAUAAAAAAAAAAAACCACAACAACAGUAAGGUAAAGAAACACCAAACACUUAAUCAUCAAAAUAAAAUAGAAACAAUAUAAGGAAAUCAACCGAAAAUGACAGUUUGUAAAACAUAUGAAACAAGAAGCACCCUAUUGCUCAUGGCAUUUAAUGCAUGGUAUGUCGCAUUUGAAAAUUGAUUCAGUUGCAUGACACGGUUCGGCGACGCCAAGAAGAACACGUUUUUCAAAUUAUUUAAGAAAGUACAGUUUAUUAAAUAGUUUAUAUAUGUCUGUCAAAAUUAUGGUCAGUUAGUAGGAUCCAUACAUCUGUGAGAACAUCAUUUCUUUGUACAAACAAUACGAUGUAUCUUUGUCAUACCAGGUUAGCGGACUAUCUAUAUGUAGUUGUUGUUGCUAUCUGGAAAUAUUAUGUGAACAUUAUAUUAGUUUCAGUAAAAUAUUCAAAACAAUGUAAAUAUCAGAAGCUACAUUACAUUAAAGACCCUGAAAAAAAAUAAUCUGAAAAAAAUCAAACAUGAUGAACAACACGAUUUUAAGCUAUUGACAUGACAGACAACAACCAACACAUGGUAUUUUAGUAAAACUUCUAAAUAGUUUGAGGUUACAAAAUCACUGAUUAUCUUGUUUCGUUUGUUUUCUUGGAGGGAUGCACGUCUCAUGUCAUUUGCUAAACUCAUUGUAUUUAUAUACGUACAACCAUAGAAAAGUAGUUAAUAAAGUAUAAAUCAAAUCAUUUCUAUCUCGAAUUUUUAAAUUUCAACUUUUUUCCUGCGUUGUGUUCAAAUCAAUUAGCCAUUUAUUUCUGAUCUAAUAAACAUAUCGAUUUUGUAUUUUCCUCAUGUCGUGCAUAUUUUGGGGCAGUUUUCAAACAACUUUAAAAUGUCACCCAAUCUAGAAUAGAUAUACGACACAUUGAUUUUGGUAAAGUGAUCUGGUUAAUCUGUUUCAAUGCUUUAAAAAAAAGUCGUUGUUGUUUUAUUGGAUACAAUAAAUAUUGUUUUGCAUGGACAUUUACUUUACAAGUUGGAAAGGAUUGCAAAAUAGCUAAAAAUCAACAGCUGCAAAAAUAUUUUUAAAUUUCAAAUUAUUUUAUUGAAAGGAUUUAUUACGGUUCCUGAAACUUUUAUUCAAAAAGUUGCCACUGGACGAAUUAAAAACCAAAAUACAUUAAAACUUUCAAAUUAAUUCCUGAAUGAAAAGAGUUUAGUACUGACCUUCAUGCAACACACAGCAAACCUAUCCGAUGGGUGAAUGUUACAGUAAAACAACGGCGGGCAGUUUUGACGUCUUGGUCCCCGACCACAAUUGAUGUUAGGUAAUGGUAUUCCGAUCGGGCAGGUAGGUUCUUCUAUAAAACGAAUCGAUAACAACUGCAAUUUUCCUGAUUUGGUACAGGCAUUUUUUUUAUGUAGAAAAUGGUUUUACAGCUAAACAACCCUAUUGCUUGUAUGACAGUCGCAUGCAAUUCUCUUUUAUUGUGAACAAAACUAACAGACAUAACAGAUAACAUUGUCAGUGCGAAUAUAAGAACACACCAAGUUGUUUUCAUGCUCAAAAUGAUCAAAACAGAUAAGAAUAUAAAGUUGUCGGAUCAAUUAUUCCAAAAGUGCAAACUGCAAAUCCUUUCCUUAGCUUUAACGUUUGUGUAUAUUAAGACAUUUUCCACCGAACAACAGUUAAUUUACUGCUACCCAACAUGUUAUAAUGUGGUCAAUGUUCAGUUGUGUUAUUGGUUGUGUUAUGUUUACAAAUGUCUGAAUUAUAUAUCGUAACAGAGAAAAUGGUUAGAUGUUAAUAAAAGAUAAAUAAAGUGUCUUUAUCAAUAUAAAUAAAUUAUAAAUUAAUAUAAGUAUCCUCUAUGAAAAAUAUUGUACAUACCUUGACUCUUCACACAACCAAUAACACAACUGAGCAUUAUUAAUAAUAACCACAUGAUGAUCUAUAGGGUUACAGUAAAGUAACUGGUAUUCGGUGGAGAAUGUCUUUAUAUACACAAGUAAAAGAUAAUUAUGUAACCAGCUUUCAACUAAUUGCUUGAUUACCCGAAAAGGUGUUUUCUAUUUCAUAAUGUGUACGUUUUAAUAAAUGAUGUAAUAAAAAAAAACACAAGACAAAUUAUAUAAAAAGCCACUGUAAAUAGAUGACCAAUGAAAGAACCGAAAGUGUCGUGGAAAAAAAUAACAUGAUAAUUUGUUUGAUGAUGUGUUGUUUUAUAUCCUUGUGUUUAUCAUGCUUGGGCAGUAUUUAUGACCUUGAGAGUUUGUCAGAGCGUUAUACUACGCAUUAUAAUCCACCGAUUUUUAUCAGUUCGGAUUUUACGAUAGAGAAGGUAACCAUGAUAAAUGACAGAAAAGACAACAAACUAGCUAUAAAAAGGCAAAAUAGAACAAACAGAUAGAUAACUACUGACAGACAAAACAAGAGCACAAGAUAGAGAAUCGUUACCCUGACAUAAACAUGGUUAGAUUAACAUUUACUUUGACGUAAAAUCGCGCGUUUGACGUCACACAGGUAAAACUAAAAUAAUUUUGUCGUUGAAUGUAUGACAGGAUGCAUAAGUCACGUCAAAUGGAUAUCUCAAAAACAGACUUAACAGUUAAAGUAAUACUAUAAACUUAAGACAAGUAAAAGAAUAAGAAUAAGAAUACUUUAUUCAUCCAAUUAUGGACCCUUGCGGGUUUUAAAUUUCAUACAAUGAUUACAAUGAUUUGUGUUAUAAACAAUGAAAUAAUAAAAAAAUACAUCACAUAGAAGACUGAACAGUUUAUUGCAUCACAUGGAAGAAAAGUAAUGGGAGACAAUCAAUUUCUGUAAGGAUUAUUCCCCAUUAAACAGAUAUGGUGUUUUGAGCUGCAGAAAAAUGAAAUACAGCCCCAACUGAUUAGAUAUAAGGGUAUUUUUCUCCCAUGCACACACAGCAACCAAUUACUAGAUAUUUAUGUAUAUAAUUAUUUCUUUUACAAUUGCAAAAAUAUGAUAAGCACCUUAGAGAUUUGACUGCAGUUUAUUAAUGCAUAGAUAAGCAUUUACAUAUUAAUAGAUGCAAUAUGCAUACACAUAGAUAGAGAAAUGUGUAUUUAAAUUAAAUUUUUUGAAUUUAAAAUAUAUAUAUAUGGAUAAACUAAAAGAGAUUUAGCCAUUUACAGAAUUUGUGAUUCAUUCAAAACUCUGGAUAAGAAUAAUACUUAACUUUUUAAGUAUAUGUUUAUCUUCAGUGGUCAUUAACCAUAAACAUUUUGAUUUGCAGUCCAAGUUAUUAAAAUUUUGACAGUGCUCAUGAGCUUGUGCAACAAUGAUUCUCGACAUUUAUAUACAGUGGAAGUUUAUUAAAAAUGAAACUCAUAUCUAUAUCAUUAUGUGUACAAAAAUUACAAGUCUCUGUGAUUCUAUAGGUUGUUCUUAUGUCGCUCUUUUUCUAAUCGUGGGCACUUAUGCGAAAUUUACAUAAUGUUUGUCUUGAUUGAAAACUUUGAAUAUCAAGAUAUUUUUUCCAUUUGGAAAUUACUUUUAUGAGAAAAAAUAUAUAUCUAGCUUCCAGUAACAUUAUCUUUUCAUUGAACAUGCUUUAAAAAUAAUGUCUUUAACUUUUUCAUAAAGUUGUUUUCAUCUAUUAAUUGAAUAAUAAAUACAGUAUGUUUCUUCAUUCAGCUUUUGUAAAAUAAAUUUAACAGAGGAAUACCACGUCAAAGUGUUAUUUUCAUGCAUAUCUCUGUUACAUAAAAACGCUUCUUUCAAUACAUUUGAGUUACAAUGAUGUAAUCUAUGCAGAUAGCUUAUCAUAGAUAUAACAAUAUUAAAAUAUAUAGGAAUCUACUAAUUCUGAUUGUACAGCAACAUUUGUACUUUUAUCAUUUAAGCUAAAAAUGCUUACAGAACUUUAAAUAUAAAAAAGAAAAUGUGGUAUGAUUGCCAAUGAGACAACUAUCUACAAAAGACCAAAAUGACACAGACAUUAACAACUAUAGGUCACGUACGGCCUUCAACAAUGAGCAAAGCCCAUACGCUAGUCAGCUAUAAUAGCCCCGAUAAGAACAAUAUAAACAAUUCAAAGAGAAAACUAACGGCCUUUUUAUGUAAAUAUGAACGAAAAACAAUAUGUAACAUAUAAACAAACGACACACUGAAUUACGGCUCCUGACUUGGACAGGCACAUACAUAAAUAAUGUGGCGGGGUUAAACAUGUAGCGGAUCCCAACCCCCUAACUGGGACAGGUAUAACAGUACAACAUAAGAACGAACUAUAAAAAUCAGUUUGAAAAAGGCUUAACUCAUCAGAUGAAAAUAUAAGUUGACGUGGCCGGGUACUUAUACAUCCCGACAUAAAGACACAAUGAACAGAUCUGAGAGUACUCGUUAUCUGACAGCUAGUUCAAAGCACUAACCUAAUAAAAAAUCAUGCAUCAAAGUUCAUUUUAUCAGCAACAUUAUUCUGGUAUAUUUUUUCAAGUACAUUUGUAGCAUAUUUUUUACAAGAAGCAGAGUUGGUUUUAAACAUUCCCCAUAUCUCUGGUUUAAUGGUAUGGUCAAACAGAUGUAAAUUUUUUUUUAAUACUAGCAUCUGAGCCAGAUAAACAUCUAUUAAGUUUAUAUGAAGCUUUUAAAGAUUUAUUAAAUAAGUCUUCUUUUGCAUAAUUAAAUAGGCCACUUGACUGGAAUAUAACUCCAAGGUAUUUGUAUUUGAAAACAGUUUCAAUUAAUUCAUUUUUAAAAAGAAUGGUUCUUUUAUGAGGCGCCCACUUUUAUUUAAAAUAACUUUUUUUUUUUUAUAAAGUUAUAUACAUUUAGGCACCAGGUAUCACAGUAUGAUUCCAAUGCAUUCAAGCGCUUUUGAAGUCCAUUAGCAGAAUCAGAAAAUACAAUGACAUUAUCUGCAUACAUAAGACAGUCUAUNCCUAGAGAUACUUAGGCAGUGAUUAAUUUUGACUUUGAAAUGAUUCCAGGUAAUUUAAAAUGAAUUUGUUAAACAAUUCACUGACAACCAAACGUAGCUCACAUUAUAAGUAUACGAUUACCCAUAUUCUGACUAUUUUAUUUAUUGUGUCUGUUUAGUUAACGCAUCAAUGUAAAUAUAACGGAAUUUGAUGGACUGUCAUCAAAGUGAGAGGUUAGCGCUUAUAAAACCAGGUUUAAUCCACCCAUUUUCUACAUUUGAAAAUGCCUGUACCAAGUCAGGAAUAUGACAGUUCUUGUCCAUUCGUUUUUGAUGCGUUUUGUUAUUUGAUUUUGCCAUGUGAUUAUAGACUUUCCGAAUUGAUUUUCCUCUAAGUUCAGUAUUUUGUGAUUUUACUUUUUACAGUAGUAUAAAAUAUGAUUUGCACAAUCUAACUACAGAGAUCAUUUGUUUUUGUACAGAAACUCGGUGUGUUGAAUGAAAACCAAAAACAUGUAAUACUACAGCGGGACAGUAUAUUUAAAUCUGCAUUUUGACAAUUCAGCGGUUCAGGAUGAAAUUUUUCUUAAACAUGUUAUUGUAUUUACUAAAAUAUUGUGAGCUCUUUAAAAGCAAAUACAGAUUUGCUAACAUUAGCAAAGCUAAACUUCCAAGGUAUAUAUAUUUUUUUAUCCUUAAAGGUAUCGAAGCUUUCAUGUUUUGUCAGGUGAUAAUAAUUGGCUCGUACUAACUGUUUCCUUAAUAGCUAACAUUUAUAUAUAAUUUUGUUAAGUACAUUGGUAAUCCUGAAGUGGAUAUAGGUAAUGUUUUUGACACCGGCGAGUUUGUUAGUUUAGUGCAAGAUUUUCUUGUGUAUGAAACUCAUUCUUAUUUGUCCACAGGGGUUCAGCUGAGAAUUUGGUUUUCAAUGAAAGCAGAUGUAUUGGAAAUGUGCUUAUUGAAUGUUGAUGGUAAAAGUUCAUGAAUGAAUUUUGAGCAUUAGUUUUUCUUUAUGCAGACCUUGCCGCAGUUUGAUUUUAUAUUAUUGCUGUAGAUUCGUACAGGGAACUGUAAAUUCAGGAAUUAUUGCGUGCAUAUUGCGAAGCACUAUUAUUGCGGAUUUUAAAUUUUGAGAUAUUGAGGAAAAUCCAGUUUAAUUCAUAUAAUUUUUUUUUGAAUGCGAGUUUAAAUUAUAGUGAUUAUAACCAUGUCGUAUUUUUCGCAAUUAUAAAAACAUCGCAAUAUUUUUGGAAUAUACAGUACUAGUAUAUGAAGACGGAACUGGACGCUUGUGUCCUAAAUCUUGCAGUGUUUUUCUGUCCAUGAAAAUAUAUGCAUAUCUUUCCAUUUAUUUAUCAGAAUCUUUGAGAAAAAGAUCUCAAACUUCUCCUGUAGAACUGGUUUACAUAACACAGCGUUUGCAGCUAUGAAUAUAGCUUUAAAAAAGAGCAGAUAAGAUUUAACAAACAAGAAAAACGAUUUGUAUUUCAAUAAAUGUGAAAUUUGGUGCAAAGUACUAGUUUAUACCUGUGCAUAAAUCCACUUUACAACAAAUGGAAGUGUUUAACGAUCCUGACUGGCUAUACAGCCCUGACACGGUACGGUUUUUAUACUAUCAGCCUGUUCAAUCUCCGUUCUUAACUCUAACGUUUACGCAAUUAAUUUGUAUCACGAAUUAUUUUUGUUAUCCAAACCCUUGUUUGUCCAAUCACUGCAAUGCAGAAUGGGUACAACAAUAGAAUGACGUCACUGCAAUGUUUUAAUUAUUAAUUUUAUUAUUAAAAGGAAAAUAUAUAACGUAUUUUAUAAUUCAUUCCAGUACCAAAGCACUUACUACUCGGGGACGAAAAUUCCACCGAAUGUAUGCACAGCUCAAAAAUUAAAUUUAGAAUGGAAUCAUAUGAAUGAUUAAUAAUGAAGACUUCUCCAAAAUAUAGAACCAAAUAAAGUCUUUUAUAAAUAAUAUGUAAAACGGUUAAAUAAUACUAACAAGAUAAAAAAAAAACCACAACAACAGUAAGGUAAAGAAACACCAAACACUUAAUCAUCAAAAUAAAAUAGAAACAAUAUAAGGAAAUCACCGAAAAUGACAGUUUGUAAAACAUAUGAAACAAGAAGCACCC
rnacentral:lncRNA from 1 species